rnacentral:rRNA from 1 species
UAACCUGCCCAAGAGAUCGGGAUAACACCUGGAAACAGAUGCUAAUACCGGAUAACAACAGAUGAUGCCUAUCAACUGUUUAAAAGAUGGUUCUGCUAUCACUCUUGGAUGGACCUGCGGUGCAUUAGCUAGUUGGUAGGGUAACGGCCUACCAAGGCGAUGAUGCAUAGCCGAGUUGAGAGACUGAUCGGCAACAUUGGGACUGAGACACGGCCCAAACUCCUACGGGAGGCAGCAGCU